rnacentral:rRNA from 1 species
CCUACGGGAGGCAGCAGUGAGGAAUAUUGCGCAAUGGGCGAAAGCCUGACGCAGCAACGCCGCGUGGGCGAAGAAGGCCUUCGGGUUGUAAAGCCCUUUUCUGGGAGACGAGGAAGGACGGUAUCCCAGGAAUAAGCCUCGGCUAACUACGUGCCAGCAGCCGCGGUAAAACGUAGGAGGCGAGCGUUAUUCGGAUUUACUGGGCGUAAAGCGCGUGCAGGCGGUUUCGUAAGUCGGACGUUAAAUCUCCUGGCUAAACUGGGAGGCGUCGUUCGAUACGGCGAAGCGGGAGGUCGGGAGAGGGAAGUGGAAUUCCCGGUGUAGUGGUGGAAUACGUAGAUAUCGGGAGGAACACCAGUGGCGAGGGCGGCUUCCGGGCCCGCACCUGACGCUA